rnacentral:rRNA from 1 species
UACGAAGGGGGGCUAGCGUUGCUCGGAAUCACUGGGCGUAAAGGGUGCGUAGGCGGGUCUUUAAGUCAGGGGUGAAAUCCUGGAGCUCAACUCUAGAACUGCCUUUGAUACUGAAGAUCUUGAGUGCGGGAGAGGUGAGUGGAAUUCCGAGUGUAGAGGUGAAAUUCGUAGAUAUUCGGAGGAACACCAGAAGCGAAGGCGGCUCACUGGCCCGAUACUGACGCUGAGGCGCGAAAGCGUGGGGAGCAAACAGG